UUGCUAGGGGCGACUCGUCCUGUUGGUUCUCAGGGGGAGGUGCCGUGGGGACUUAACUGGCUUGGUCUCUUCCAGCGCUAGCGGAGUUCCAAUGGUCCAGAGCGCCUGGGCAUUCCUGACCCUUCCAGGGCCACUGCCCUAGUGGGCGUCCUGCGCCCGAUUGGUGGGCUGGCAUUUACAGAGUACAUCUGGACUGGCUGGAUUACCCUACACUUGGAGAUCCUACUGUUUGCAGAAGUUGAGUUCGCUUUUCCCGGGCCACGCAGCAAAGGAUGGAGCUACUGAAUCAGUGGUUAUAGGUCUAGCGGAGAGGACAAGAGCCAGGCUCCUGCUUCAUAACUGAGACAUCGAGCAUCCAGUCAAUGAACUUUUUUGCCUCUGGCUCUAGGGGGCCACUGGAUAUUGAACCUGGCCCAACCUAAUACCCAUUCGGAUGAAAGAGUGAAGUGACAGGUUGCCCGAAAGGGAUGGGAAGAGGGGUUCAAUGGGAACAUGUAGACGCCGCCCCCAGGGAUCAAUUCCUAAAUGCCGAGCUGAGGACCAAACCCAGGGCCUUGCAAUUGCUAGGCAAGCGCUCUACCACUGAGCUAAAUCCCCAACCCCAAGUUAGUUUCUUAACCAAAUCAUCUGUGUUGGUUAUAGAAGAAGAAUCUGAACCCCGUUCCUACAGCUUUAGAAACAGUCAAGCAGAGAUCUGCAGUGGAAUUCCUCUGAAUCAAGUCUUUGCUCAACACGGUUCAAGUGAAAUGUAGAUUAUGAUAACUGGAAGUGUGCUCAAGAGCUAGAAGACCAAGUGUGGGCAUCCAACCCCACGUUGGGGCCUCGG